rnacentral:rRNA from 1 species
UACGUAGGGGGCAAGCGUUGUCCGGAUUUAUUGGGCGUAAAGAGCGUGUAGGCGGCCAUACAGGUCAGCUGUGAAAACUCGAGGCUCAACCUCGAGACGUCGGUUGAAACCGUAUGGCUAGAGUCCGGAAGAGGAGAGUGGAAUUCCCGGUGUAGCGGUGAAAUGCGCAGAUAUCGGGAAGAACACCCGUGGCGAAGGCGGCUCUCUAGUACGGUACUGACGCUGAGACGCGAAAAGCGUGGGGAGCGAACAGG